rnacentral:rRNA from 1 species
CGUGGUAUACCCCACCCGUGUCUAUCUACUCUUGUUGCUUUGGCAGGCCGUGGUCUUCCACUGUGGGCUCUGCCUGCAUGUGCCUGCCAGAGGACCAAACUCUGAAUUUUAGUGAUGUCUGAGUACUAUAUAAUAGUUAAAACUUUCAACAACGGAUCUCUUGGUUCUGGCAUCGAUGAAGAACGCAGCGAAAUGCGAUAAGUAAUGUGAAUUGCAGAAUUCAGUGAAUCAUCGAAUCUUUGAACGCACAUUGCGCCCUGUGGUAUUCCGCAGGGCAUGCCUGUUCGAGCGUCAUUACAACCAAAAUUAAGCCUAGCUUAGUGUUGGGGUUCGCAGUUCUGCGGCCCUUAAUAUCAGUGGCGGUGCCUGUAGGCUCUGAGCGUAGUAAUUCUUCUCGCUAUAGAGCCCUAUAAGUAUCUUGCCAGAACCCCCAUAUUUUUUCAGGUUGACCUCGGAUCAGGUAGGGAUACCCGCUGAACUUAAGCAUAUC